AUACGUAGGGAGCGAGCGUUAUCCGGAUUUAUUGGGCGUAAAGGGUGCGUAGGCGGUAAAUUAAGUCUAAGGUUAAAGUGCAGGGCUCAACCCUGUGAUGCCUUAGAAACUGGUUUACUUGAGUUUGGUAGAGGUAAGUGGAACUCCAUGUGUAGCGGUAAAAUGCGUAAAUAUAUGGAAGAACACCAGUGGCGAAGGCGGCUUACUGGGCCACAACUGACGCUGAGGCACGAAAGCGUGGGGAGCAAACAGGAUUAGAUACCCUGGUAGUCCACGCUGUAAACGAUGAAUACUAAGUGUUGGAAAAAUCCAGUGCUGAAGUUAACGCAUUAAGUAUUCCGCCUGAGUAGUACGUACGCAAGUAUGAAACUCAAAUGAAUUGACGGGG
rnacentral:rRNA from 1 species